rnacentral:rRNA from 1 species
UUGAACUGAAGAGUUUGAUCAUGGCUCAGAUUGAACGCUGGCGGCAGGCCUAACACAUGCAAGUCGAGCGGCANACAUGCAAGUCGAGCGGCAGCACGGGUACUUGUACCUGGUGGCGAGCGGCGGACGGGUGAGUAAUGCCUAGGAAUCUGCCUGGUAGUGGGGGAUAACGCUCGGAAACGGACGCUA